rnacentral:piRNA from 1 species
GGCUGAUGGUACCUUCCUCGACUUGACC